AGAGUUUGAUCAUGGCUCAGAUUGAACGCUGGCGGCAGGCCUAACACAUGCAAGUCGAGCGGCAGCACAGGGGAACUUGUUCCCUGGGUGGCGAGCGCCGGACGGGUGAGUAAUGGCUGGGAACCUGCCCUGAUGUGGGGGAUAACAGUUGGAAACGACUGCUAAUACCGCAUGAUGUCUACGGACCAAAGAGGAGGACCUUCGGGCUUCUCGCGUCAGGAUGGGCCCAGUUGGGAUUAGCUAGUUGGUAGGGUAAUGGCCUACCAAGGCGACGAUCCCUAGCUGGUUUGAGAGGAUGAUCAGCCACACUGGAACUGAGACACGGUCCAGACUCCUACGGGAGGCAGCAGUGGGGAAUAUUGCACAAUGGGCGCAAGCCUGAUGCAGCCAUGCCGCGUGUGUGAAGAAGGCCUUCGGGUUGUAAAGCACUUUCAGCAGUGAGGAAGGUAGUGUUGUUAAUACCAGCAUUAUUUGACGUUAGCUGCAGAAGAAGCACCGGCUAACUCCGUGCCAGCAGCCGCGGUAAUACGGAGGGUGCGAGCGUUAAUCGGAAUUACUGGGCGUAAAGCGCAUGCAGGCGGUCUGUUGAGCAAGAUGUGAAAGCCCCGGGCUUAACCUGGGAACCGCAUUUUGAACUGGCAGGCUAGAGUCUUGUAGAGGGGGGGU
rnacentral:rRNA from 1 species